AUGUCUCAUUAUUCAUCAAUUAAUGAAAAACAAAUGAAAAUUUGAGAGAGAUAUUCUGAAGAAUAAAAGGAUCAAGUUGGGUCAUUUCUAAAAUCUCAGAGACCUAAUAGGAUGGGGUCUUAGAGAAACAUCUUUUGAGCCACAGACUUCUUUGUUACCAGAAGGAAAAUGAAAGAAGAAAUUUAAAUACCACUUGAAGAGAGCUGAUCGCCACCAACUGGCCUCUGGGUGGAUUUGGCCAAUGGAAGCACCUGUAGAGGGAAGAGAGUGAGGUUAGGAUAUUUCUUCCUGCUGUCUCCGUGCUUCCCUGCAGAGAGUGUGAAGAAAUGACCCUGAAAAGCCUCUGGCAGAGGAUUCUUCUUUCAGGAUGGUGUCGCCUCCUCAGCAGCCCAUCCUCCUCCCCUGGACUCAAGCUCUCAUUCCAGUAACACUCCUUCCUCCUUCUCCAUCUUCAGGGGGAGGUUUGCCAGUCGGUGCUGCCCAGUUCAUGAGUGCUGCUGCUGUCCUGCCCAAGUACCCAGCUUGCAGAGUGCCAGAGUUAGAGUCCCAGGGGUGUUCUCCACAGCUGCAUGCUUGAUCCAGGCCUAUCAGCAUCUGAGGAAUACAUCCAAAGAGGGUGAUACUGUGGCAUGAUGGUACCAGGAUUCCAAGUUCAUUCCAGAUCAUUGGGUAGAGACUAGAAAUGUACCGAGCAGUGCGCAAAGAAGAUGAGGAGGGUUCUACAGUUUCUCCAGAUACAUACCAUGACAAUUUGUUUUUUUAAAAAAGAAGAAAGCCUGCAGGAAAAAAUCUACAACUUUCAUCAAAUUACUCAGGGAGACUUUAUUCUAAAGAGACUGAAAACGACCAACAUCAAUUUUGACUCCUAUGGGCAUCUGUAAAUAGCUUCAAGGUUUUAAGGUGAAAUGUCAUGUACCAAAAUACACAUUCUGGAGAAGCAGGAAGCUACAGACCAACUUGAGAUGAAAGUCUCAUAUCAAUGUUUUCCCAAGUGUGCUCCUUGGAAUACAGGUUGACAUGAUAUGAUGCCCAGCAAGGGAAACAAAACAUAUUCAUGUUCAAAUUAGUUGGGGAAAUGCUGGACUAAAUAAGGUUUGAUGGGAUUCUUUUUUCUGCAGGACUUCUCAGAAGGGGCUAGAGUAGGCAAAGUUUCCCAGAUUUACCUAAUAAAAGCAUUGUUUCUGUGGGAGUUUCAUUUGUUAUUACAUGUUUCCUGAAUGCAGAUUCAUAGACUAUCCUUUGGGGAACCCUCGUCCUCACGGGAUGUAUGUUCAUGGUGGUGUCUUCGAGUUUGUGCCCUUGUGAAGCAUUCUGGCAGCAAGCAUCUGAACACUUCCAAAAGGGGGCGAUAUUUAGGAGAAAUCGCUCAGCCUGAGUUAGAACAAAUGCAGCUGCUGGUGUCUCUUGGUGCCUGGGAGCCCUAGAGUGUCAGAGGGAGGAGCGUGCACACUGGAACCAGCAGCCUGGUGCUGCGUCUCAGCUCUGUCGCUAACUGGCUAUGCACCUCUGGGCAUGGCACUUAACCCUUCUGAGCCCCAGCCCGCCAUCUGUAAAAAGGGCUUGAUGUGAGGAUUGAAUGAGAUCAUGCAGGGAACACAAUGUCUGGCACUUGGAAGCGUC
rnacentral:lncRNA from 1 species